rnacentral:lncRNA from 1 species
AGAUAUUAUUGAGCAAUGACGGUCAGUUAGGUCAUAGCAUAUUACCGUGCUGUGAAACCCUAAUUAUUAAACUCAGUUAUGAUAAAUGACUGAGUAGUAUAUGAAGUUCACUGUGUAUAUGAAGUUACUGUGUACACGAAUGUCGGUAAUUAGAAGAAAAACCCUAAUUACUAUUUUUACGCUGAUAACUAGGACAAACCCUAAUUAUUACAACCCUAAUCGGUUGAAGUUAGAGAUCGUAAUGACUGUGUUAGAUCAUACACAGAUAAUUAGAGAACCCUAAUGGUCAAUUAGAAAACCCUAAUUGAUAACGUUAAGAAACCCUAAUUAGAAAACCCUAAUUUUCUAUAGAAAACCCUAAUUUAAAAUUAUCGGGUUUAAUUACGAUGUUAUUAUAUAAAUGUUUUAAUUUACCAAAUGAUAGAAAUUAAUUGGUAAAUGGUAAGAAUUAUAAUCUAAUGGUUAAAUAUUACAUUUAAUGGCCUUUUACAAAAAUGCCCUUGGAAUUAUAUGUGAAAUGACCAAAAUACCCUUUUUGUCAUUUUAGUGUAUUAUUACUUACAUUGUUGAUGGGAUCUUGCAACAAGGAUGCCCAACAUGCUUACCCUACAUGCUAUCAGCUCUCAAACAAGGGAAUCAUCCCACUUUAGCAUCCAAGGUAUUUAAAAUUUUUUUUUUUAAAUUAAAGGAAAGGGAAAAUGCAUUAUUUAUGUCUUAUUGCUACCACUUGUCCACAAAAUCCGGCCAAUCCAUCUAGAAAUUACCUAUGGGCUGUAGUAUUACCAUCAAUCAGCCACUAUAAUCAUUUCAUGCAUUAUUUUAUGGAUUCAAGAGAGAGAAAUGCACCAUUUUUGGCCUAUUUAUACACAAGCACUUAGCUUCAUUCUCCCAAGCUUAAACCUACGAAAUUCUCUUAACAUAUCAGUCUAUAAACAAGCCCCAUUCACACCAAUAACAAAUCAGUAGCCAAAAAUCAGAAUCAAAGCAUAAAAAGGUAUAAACCCUAGCUUGAUUUUUCUUAAACUUUUUGGUGUUAGAUGUUAUGUUUAAAUGUUAAAACAUGUUGAUUAUAGUGUCUAAGGAUGAUCUGGGUUGCUUGAUGUUGAUUCCAUAACAUUCAGAAGCUCGGAUUUGAAGAUCUUUAAAAUCUGGAAAUUUUCAUUUUUGUGUUCUGACAACGAAUGUCAGAGGCUGUAGAUCCCAUCCUGUUAAGAGUUUUUGAUGUUUAAAGCUUGCUAUGUGUAGCCUGGUAUGUUGUCUUUAUUCUGCAAAAGGAAUCAUGGUCAUAUCUGUUGUAGAUUAGAAGUUAUUUAUGGUCAAACUACCAUUGACCGAACUGCUCAAGAACAUUUCUGGGUUUUCCAGAAAUGUUCAAGAACAGUUGUUGAGGUCACAUUUGACCGGCCUCUUUCUACUGGAUCUGUUGUUGUUAUAUGUCUUAUAUGUAAUAGAGUUGUAGUAUUACAUGUUAUCUACAACCUGGAAUCAAUAGAUCACUUAGAUCAAACUCAGAAUGAAAGAUAUAAAGAUCCAAAGUAGCC